rnacentral:rRNA from 1 species
AACGAACGCUGGCGGCAUGCCUAACACAUGCAAGUCGAACGAGACCUUCGGGUCUAGUGGCGCACGGGUGCGUAACGCGUGGGAACCUGCCCUUAGGUUCGGAAUAACUCCCCGAAAGGGGUGCUAAUACCGGAUAAUGUCUUCGGACCAAAGAUUUAUUGCCUUUGGAUGGGCCCGCGUUGGAUUCGCUAGUUGGUAGGGUAAAAGCCUACCAAGGCGAUGAUCCAUAGCUGGUCUGAGAGGAUGAUCAGCCACACUGGGACUGAGACACGGCCCAGACUCCUACGGGAGGCAGCAGUGGGGAAUAUUGGACAAUGGGCGAAAGCCUGAUCCAGCAAUGCCGCGUGAGUGAUGAAGGCCUUAGGGUUGUAAAGCUCUUUUACCCGGGAUGAUAAUGACAGUACCGGGAGAAUAAGCUCCGGCUAACUCCGUG